GGUCCCUCAGCACCUGCGACCUUUUAAUAAAGGGGCUUCCCUGAGCCCUGGGACCCUGAAAGCCUCCUGGGGAAUGAACUGCCUUGGCCACAGCAGCUCUCUUCCCCGCCCUUUGGGGCACUAGACGGUGAUGCCAUUGUACGGCCAGGACUUGGAGGCUGGCUCUGGGCAAUCUGCUCGAGCCUCGUGUCCUCUUGGUUCUAGGUCUUUGGGAAAUUCUUCUGCGACGGGCAGAAAAGGUCCUUUCUGCAGACAGCAGUCCUGGCCAUCCACGACCCCCUGCUGCGUGUCAGCCAGGCGGGGCUGGUGCUCGUCUACUCCCUCCUGGGGGAAGCCCAGCAACUGAUGGGGGUCACGCACGAGGAUGUCACAGCCAAGGUCAUGGGCCAGCUUCACAUCAUCCGGCACUUGCACCAGAUGCCCGAGGCGCUGCAAGGGCUGUGGCUCCUCUGAUGCUCUGAAAGGUUCCCCUCCCUGUUCAGCAAGUCCCGCUCCCUGCUGCAGAGUCUGACAUGAAGAGGAGCCUCCUCCCCCCGUGUCUUCUAGGCCCUGGGGUGUGUGACAGCCUCCCAGAUGGCUGCAGUCAGAAGCUGAACCACCUCAGGGAGCAGUGGGGACAGGUCCCUUGUCCGAGGAAACCAAGCAGUGGUAGUUCUCAAAGAGGCUGAGAGGGAAGACCCCGCUCCCUCAUGGAGCAAGAGGCUCCCCAGAGAUCUCCUCAAACCUGUUCUCCUGGGAGCGUUUCUGGGAGGAGGCUCCCGUCCCUCAGUCUCCAACUCCAUCAUGCAGCCUCAUUCACCUAACAUCUCCGCUCUCCAGCUCCACUUCCUGCAGCAGGACAAACGGACCUUCAGCUCUGACCUGGAGUGGAGUAAAGGCCAGUCACCUGGUUGGAGGGCUGAGUUCCCAGCCAACAAACUGCAAGAGUGAGUAUCAGCGGGGUUGCUAGCCCAGCGAGAAAGCGGUGACACGAGGCCUGGCCAGCAUCUAGCGACCCUCUGUUCUCCUUCUGGGCUGCCUGGACCCUGACUGUAACAUCUCUCUGGCCCAGCCUCUUACACAGAUGCGUGCUGCAGCCAGCCCAGCGCAGGGAGCAGUGGGGACAGAUGAUCUCAUACUGUCAGACCAAGCAACAGGGGUCCCAGUGAGGCUUAGAAGGAAGAUCCCAGGCAUCUCCUGGAGGUAAGAACCGUCCACUCUUCUGGGCACUUGGGGCUGUUGCAACAAAGAGGGGGCUCCUGUUCCAUAGCCUCUUUGUCCUCAUGACUGUGUUUUUUUAUUCUCAGAAGAUGCGUCCGGGACCCUGGAGACUGUUUCGUGGAGGAGGUUUGAGCGGGGAGAGAUCACUCACUGUCAUGACCCAUGGGUCAUUAACCCGGGUCUGCAGGGUUCCUGGGAGCAGCCGCCCUCCAGCACGCCACCUGGAAGCCUACGAAAAACUGCUUACCUAGGACUGACGAAGUCCAGACCCAGUUUGAGGCUCCAUCCCUGAGGCCCAUUGGCAGAGUCCCAGAGCAGCUAAUCGGCCCCCGGGACCUCCUUAAACCAGCAGCAGGAACAAGGAGCUGUCUGAACACCCGAGCUCCUCCCCGGCUCUGGACCCUGUGUUAGCUGUUCCUGCUCCCACUCCCCAGGCUUGAUUUCCUGGCACCCGGACUCGGGGUGACGCAUCUGACUUGAGGUGCUGAGCACAAUUUCGUCUUUUGCUUCUGCUCUUCCAGUGUCCUGACCCAGCUGACUCUCGACUCCUGCCUUGUGAGUGUGGACUCUGCCUCUUACCACUAGGUCCGGCUGCCCAUGACCCGGCCAUGACACUGACAUUUCGACAGUUCCUCCAGUGCCCUUUCCUGCUCUCCAGCCCUGCUCUCCCAGCAAGACACACCGAUCCCUGGCUCCCGGAGUCCUGCUUGCCUGAUAUUCAGGGGCUCCGGGGGAGAGCUUGUCUUGCCCCCUCCCCUACCACGGCUGCUUUUCUCGGGGGCUCUCCCUAGCGCAGAGGAGAAUCCGUCCUGGCAGCAAU